rnacentral:tRNA from 1 species
AGUCUUAUAUUCAAUAAUGAUAUUAAAUUGCAAAUUUAAAGGUGAAUAAAUUUCUAAGACUU